CGGUAGCACAGAGAGCUUGCUCUCGGGUGACGAGUGGCGGACGGGUGAGUAAUGUCUGGGAAACUGCCUGAUGGAGGGGGAUAACUACUGGAAACGGUAGCUAAUACCGCAUAACGUCGCAAGACCAAAGAGGGGGACCUUCGGGCCUCUUGCCAUCAGAUGUGCCCAGAUGGGAUUAGCUAGUAGGUGGGGUAACGGCUCACCUAGGCGACGAUCCCUAGCUGGUCUGAGAGGAUGACCAGCCACACUGGAACUGAGACACGGUCCAGACUCCUACGGGAGGCAGCAGUGGGGAAUAUUGCACAAUGGGCGCAAGCCUGAUGCAGCCAUGCCGCGUGUAUGAAGAAGGCCUUCGGGUUGUAAAGUACUUUCAGCGGGGAGGAAGGCGAUGAGGUUAAUAACCUUGUCGAUUGACGUUACCCGCAGAAGAAGCACCGGCUAACUCCGUGCCAGCAGCCGCGGUAAUACGGAGGGUGCAAGCGUUAAUCGGAAUUACUGGGCGUAAAGCGCACGCAGGCGGUCUGUCAAGUCGGAUGUGAAAUCCCCGGGCUCAACCUGGGAACUGCAUUCGAAACUGGCAGGCUGGAGUCUUGUAGAGGGGGGUAGAAUUCCAGGUGUAGCGGUGAAAUGCGUAGAGAUCUGGAGGAAUACCGGUGGCGAA
rnacentral:rRNA from 1 species